UGGACUACUGGGGUUUCUAAUCCUGUUUGCUACCCAUGCUUUCGCUCCUCAGCGUCAGUUACGGCCCAGAGCGGCGCCUUCGCCACUGGUGUUCCUCCUGAUAUCUGCGCAUUUCACCGCUACACCAGGAAUUCCCCGCUCCCCUACCGCACUCUAGUCACAGCAGUAUCGAGUGGCCUCUCUGGGUUGAGCCCAGAGUUUUCACACCCGACUUACCGAACCGCCUACGAGCUCUUUACGCCCAAUAAAUCCGGAUAACGCUCGAUGCCUACGUGUCACCGCGGCUGCUGGCACGUAGUUGGCCGCAUCUUCUUCUGCAGGUACCGUCAGUUUCUUCCCUGCUGAAAGCGGUUUACAACCCUAGGGCUGUCAUCCCGCACGCGGCGUUGCUGCAUCAGGC
rnacentral:misc_RNA from 1 species